GACGAACGCUGGCGGCGUGCUUAACACAUGCAAGUCGAACGGAAAGGCCCUGCUUUUGUGGGGUGCUCGAGUGGCGAACGGGUGAGUAACACGUGAGUAACCUGCCCUUGACUUUGGGAUAACUUCAGGAAACUGGGGCUAAUACCGGAUAGGAGCUCCUGCUGCAUGGUGGGGGUUGGAAAGUUUCGGCGGUUGGUGAUGGACUCGCGGCUUAUCAGCUUGUUGGUGGGGUAGUGGCUUACCAAGGCUUUGACGGGUAGCCGGCCUGAGAGGGUGACCGGCCACAUUGGGACUGAGAUACGGCCCGGACUCCUACGGGAGGCAGCAGUGGGGAAUAUUGCACAAUGGGCGGAAGCCUGAUGCAGCAACGCCGCGUGCGGGAUGACGGCCUUCGGGUUGUAAACCGCUUUCGCCUGUGACGAAGCGUGAGUGACGGUAAUGGGUAAAGAAGCACCGGCUAACUACGUG
rnacentral:rRNA from 1 species